rnacentral:rRNA from 1 species
GACAGAGGGUGCAAACGUUGUUCGGAAUUACUGGGCGUAAAGCGUGUGUAGGCGGCUAGGUAAGUCGGAUGUGAAAGCCCCGGGCUCAACUCGGGAAGUGCACUCGAUACUGCUUAGCUCGAGUACCGGAGAGGUUGGUGGAAUUCUCGGUGUAGAGGUGAAAUUCGUAGAUAUCAGGAGGAACACCGGUGGUGUAGACGGCUUCUGGACCGUAACUGACGCUGAGACACGAAAGCGUGGGUAGCAAACAGG